AAUUAAAAAGUUUGGCGGUAAUUUAAGCUAGUUAGAGGAACCUGUAUAUUAAAUGAUUGUCCCCAAGYAUCUUACUUAAAAUUGAAUAAACAGCUUAUAUAUCGCCGUUAUAGAUUUGUUUAGAAGAAUAUUUUCUUAUUUAAURUGUUGGUAAAUUCAGGUCUAGGUGUAGCAAAUGUUUAAGUUUAURUGGGUUACAAUAAUUGGGGGUUAAACAGAUAUUARAUGAAAUAUCUUAUAGAAAGGUGGAUUUAAUUGUAAAUUUAUAUAAUAAUGAUUAAUUGAAUCAGCUCUAAAUUAUGG
rnacentral:rRNA from 1 species